AUACUUACCUUGUUCCAGUGUCCCGAGAUCAUGAACACGGGAUACUAGUGAAGGAGGCCUGCAUUGCACAUCGCGGAGUCGUCCUCUGCUCAAUUGUCCUUCGGGGCCAUUGGGGGCGCAAUUUUUGAUUUUCCAUUGUGGG
rnacentral:snRNA from 18 species